GGAUCUGAUGUUAUGUCAUUGAUGAACCUCAACCCUCGUGGUACAUGAAAGAAGAAGCAAGACAACACACCUUGCCUGAAACAACUACAACUAACAUCAACUGAACUUCAUACUUGAGUCAUUGUGGUGUGAUAGCACAUUCAGCAUGUGUUCCGGUGCACUGUACUCCCCUGCACUUGUGCGGCUUUCUCUCACCUGACAGAUUAAACUCAGGUCAUGGUGAGGUCAAGUUGCCAUAUGCAGCUUCUUAAGAUGGUCAAUGGCCUGUAAUGAGGGCAAUAACUGCCAUUCCCCAAGCACCACCGGUUUCUUAUGAAAAGAAUGCUCACUGCCAAUAGCAACAGAAUGGAUAGCCCUGGAGGUCUUCAGUUUUGUGGCUGUUGAACACCAA